AGAUAGAGGAGUGCUCGAAAGAGAGCCGUAACACAGGUGCUGCAUGGCUGUCGUCAGCUCGUGUCGUGAGAUGUUGGGUUAAGUCCCGCAACGAGCGCAACCCUUGUCAUUAGUUGCUACAUUCAGUUGGGCACUCUAAUGAGACUGCCGGUGACAAACCGGAGGAAGGUGGGGAUGACGUCAAGUCCUCAUGGCCCUUAUAGGUGGGGCUACACACGUCAUACAAUGGAUGGUACAAAGGGUCGCCAACCCGCGAGGGGGAGCCAAUCUCAUAAAGCCAUUCGUAGUCCGGAUCGCAGUCUGCAACUCGACUGCGCGAAGUCGGAAUCGCUAGUAAUCGUGGAUCAGCAUGCCACGGUGAAUACGUUCCCGGGCCUU
rnacentral:rRNA from 1 species